UAAUACGGAGGGUGCAAGCGUUAAUCGGAAUUACUGGGCGUAAAGCGCACGCAGGCGGUUAAUUAAGUUAGAUGUGAAAUCCCCGGGCUUAACCUGGGAACUGCAUCUAAGACUGGUUAGCUAGAGUCUCGUAGAGGGGGGUAGAAUUCCAUGUGUAGCGGUGAAAUGCGUAGAGAUGUGGAGGAAUACCGGUGGCGAAGGCGGCCCCCUGGACGAAGACUGACGCUCAGGUGCGAAAGCGUGGGGAGCAAACAGGAUUAGAUACCCUGGUAGUCCACGCUGUAAACGAUGUCGAUUUGGAGGUUGUGCCCUAGAGGCGUGGCUUCCGGAGCUAACGCGUUAAAUCGACCGCCUGGGGAGUACGGCCGCAAGGUUA
rnacentral:rRNA from 1 species